UACAGAGGUCCCAAGCGUUGUUCGGAUUCACUGGGCGUAAAGGGUGCGUAGGUGGUGAGGUAAGUCGGAUGUGAAAUCUCCGAGCUCAACUCGGAAAUGGCAUUGGAAACUACCUUGCUCGAGGGUUGGAGGGGGGACUGGAAUACUUGGUGUAGCAGUGAAAUGCGUAGAUAUCAAGUGGAACACCAGUGGCGAAGGCGGCGACCUGGGUAGAUACUGACGCUGAGGUGCGAAAGCGUGGGGAGCAAACAGG
rnacentral:rRNA from 1 species